GGAGGCCCCCGGCCGGCUGCAGAUUCCCUCCGGCCCCGGGAGCCGCAGCAGGACCGGCCGGGAGGCGCCGCGGAGGGGAGUCGCAUCCCGGUGCGGACAGUGCCCACCGCGCCCUGCGAGGACCGGCGACCCACCGGCCUCUUCCAGGGCCAGCGCAGCUACCCGCCCAACUUCAUCCGGAGCGCGCUGUCGUCCGUCGACCUGCGCGACCGUCAGGGCCGCACCACGGGGGUGGGCAGCGACGGCAGAUAAAGACGCAGAGCCUCAGAGAAGUUAAACGAUUGAUCCUAUGUCAGGGGGUAGAGUCAAGACUCAUACCUAUGCCUUUUAACUUCAAGAUUGGACGACUGAUUAUUGGACAGAAUGGCAUCUUGUCGACACCUGCGGUCUCCUGCAUUAUCAGGAAGAUCAAGGCAGCUGGUGGAAUCAUUCUAACAGCCAGCCACUGCCCUGGAGGACCAGGGGGAGAGUUUGGAGUGAAGUUUAAUGUUGCCAAUGG
rnacentral:lncRNA from 10 species